AUUUUUCAUUUUUCUAGCUCCUUUUUUUGUUAGUUUUUAAAAUAAAAGAACCUAUGUUGCUUUUUUUUUUUUUUUUUGCCUCUCAUGGCAUUCAAAUUUAGCUUUUAUAUAAUUCACCCUCUCCCAGUAACUCAGGGUACAUUUGAGAGAGACACAUGCUAAAGCCAUAAACAAUGCUUACUUUUUUCCUAGAAGAUGGUGCAGCAGGAGUCCUACAGAAGAAAUUGAGGUGCGGAUUCCUUGGGACUCACCAGUGUUCUUUACGUGGCGUCAUCAUUAUUUAUAUACUUAUUUGUAUGGGAACAUGCACACUGCCACAUGGGUGCUGGCCUUUCCUUCUAUGCUGUGGAUUCUGGAGAAGGAACUGCAGUCGUCAUUCCCACUGAGCCAUCUCACCUCUCCCAGAGUGUUUUGAAAGUUUCUUUUCACAAGACUGUAGUGCUUUCCUGCUCUGUGCCUCACAUGGUGCUUGCUGGCUGCUGAACCGACUGAGAUACCUGAGAUGUGUUUUCUGCUCCAAAAGUGCUUACAAUCUUGCACAGAAGAGAAGGUGUCAUUAAAUAACUGCACAUGCUAUGAGGAAGUGUGAUUCUGUAUCACAGGAAGGCCAUGAGAUGAAGGAUAGCUUUGUUGCAGAAAUAUGGUUGGCAAUUUGAAUUUUUGCCUUUCCAGGCUAUGGCGUUUCUCCCUUGCUUUAUCUUUGUACCUUUCAAACACUAGGACAGUUAUUUAUUGGUAACUUUACCCACUCAUCCUCAACCAUCUCAUUUGUUGUCCCUUCUCUCCAUAGAUGCAGAUAGCCACAUUUUAUUUCUUGAGUAUAUGUCUAGUGUCUCCUUGUGCUACACACACACACAUUUAUAUGAAUAUAUACAUAUGUAAGUAUUCAUAUAUAGAGAUAUAUUUCUUCUUUUGUUCUUUCUUACACAAAACAAUGCUGUUUGUUAUUCAGACAGCUUGUUCACAUAACAGUGUAUUCUCGAGAUAGGAUGCCCUUCUUUUCUUCAUGGUUGAUAUGCUGCCUUCAUAGCAUCAACCUUCUGAGAGAUACCAGGUUGUAUCACUGAGGUACUCCAUAAUAGAGUGGCUUCAGCGACAGCUGUUUUAUUACUCCCUAGUUCUGUGGGUCAGCCAGUGGAUUUUCUGCUGGUCUUGCCAGAAUUUACAUGUGUAGAUACAGUCAUAAGGCUACGCUACUCCUACAGCCUUGCUUGUUCCAUGGUUGCCAUGGUUGCUGGUAGAUCCUUACAGCACCUGCAAUCAGUUCUCUCAGCAAGUUUACUUGGAAUACUUCAAAUGGGCCCAGAAACAAAAGGGGACUGUGCCCCAACAUGGAGGUACUGAGAAGCCGCCUUAUUGCCUUGUACUUGCUUACAUCUCAUUAGUGAAAAGAGAGCUAACCUCAGAGUCAGAGGAGAAAGGAAUGCAGAAUGAGCAGUUCCCUGGAGUCAUUACAGAACUCCAUAUAGCUAGCCAGCUCCUCAUUGCAGCAGGUAUAGUUAGUUAGCCAGCUCCCUAUCACAGUAGGUAUAGCUAGCCAGCUCCCCAUUGCAGCAGGUAUAGCUAGCCAGCUCCCCAUUGCAGCAGGUAUAGUUAGUUAGCCAGCUCCCUAUCACAGUAGGUAUAGCUAGCCAGCUCCCCAUUGCAGCAGGUAUAGCUAGUUAACCAGCUCCCUAUUGCAGCAGGUAUAGCUAGCCAGCUCCCCAUUGCAGCAGGUAUAACUAGUUAACCAGCUCCCCAUUGCAGCAGGUAUAGUUAACCAGCUCCUGCUCAUGGACACCUGGCUAUUUCAGUCUCCUGGUGUUGUAAAUACUGCCCAGAAUAUCACUUUGCCAUAAUUCAGUUCAUAUGUGAACAUGGCAAAUCCCCAGAAUGGGAUUGUUGGGUUAAAGGGCAAAUGCUUUCCAAGUUAUCUAUGUAUUCUGUUUCUCUCGUGUUAUUUCUCUGGUUAUUUUAAGCCUGUGUUUUCUGUCACUGAUUUAGGGACUUUAAAACUGAAAAGAGUUUAAAAUUAGUUAAUUAUAAACUUAUCUUUAGAGAUAAAGAGACAGAGAGACAGAGAAACAGAAAGAGAGACAGAGACAGAG
rnacentral:lncRNA from 1 species